rnacentral:rRNA from 1 species
AAAUUGAAGAGUUUGAUCAUGGCUCAGAUUGAACGCUGGCGGCAGGCUUAACACAUGCAAGUCGAGCGGUAGCACGGGGGAGCUUGCUCCCUGGGUGACGAGCGGCGGACGGGUGAGUAAUGUCUGGGAAACUGCCUGAUGGAGGGGGAUAACUACUGGAAACGGUAGCUAAUACCGCAUAACGUCGCAAGACCAAAGAGGGGGACCUUCGGGCCUCUUGCCAUCAGAUGUGCCCAGAUGGGAUUAGCUAGUAGGUGGGGUAAUGGCUCACCUAGGCGACGAUCCCUAGCUGGUCUGAGAGGAUGACCAGCCACACUGGAACUGAGACACGGUCCAGACUCCUACGGGAGGCAGCAGUGGGGAAUAUUGCACAAUGGGCGCAAGCCUGAUGCAGCCAUGCCGCGUGUGUGAAGAAGGCCUUCGGGUUGUAAAGCACUUUCAGCGAGGAGGAAGGUGGUGAGCCUAAUACGCUCAUCAAUUGACGUUACUCGCAGAAGAAGCACCGGCUAACUCCGUGCCAGCAGCCGCGGUAAUACGGAGGGUGCAAGCGUUAAUCGGAAUUACUGGGCGUAAAGCGCACGCAGGCGGUUUGUUAAGUCAGAUGUGAAAUCCCCGGGCUCAACCUGGGAACUGCAUUUGAAACUGGCAAGCUAGAGUCUCGUAGAGGGGGUAGAAUUCCAGGUGUAGCGGUGAAAUGCGUAGAGAUCUGGAGGAAUACCGGUGGCGAAGGCGGCCCCCUGGACGAAGACUGACGCUCAGGUGCGAAAGCGUGGGAGCAAACAGGAUUAGAUACCCUGGUAGUCCACGCUGUAAACGAUGUCGAUUUGGAGGUUGUGCCCUUGAGGCGUGGCUUCCGGAGCUAACGCGUUAAAUCGACCGCCUGGGGAGUACGGCCGCAAGGUUAAAACUCAAAUGAAUUGACGGGGGCCCGCACAAGCGGUGGAGCAUGUGGUUUAAUUCGAUGCAACGCGAAGAACCUUACCUACUCUUGACAUCCAGAGAACUUUCCAGAGAUGGAUUGGUGCCUUCGGGAACUCUGAGACAGGUGCUGCAUGGCUGUCGUCAGCUCGUGUUGUGAAAUGUUGGGUUAAGUCCCGCAACGAGCGCAACCCUUAUCCUUUGUUGCCAGCGGUUCGGCCGGGAACUCAAAGGAGACUGCCAGUGAUAAACUGGAGGAAGGUGGGGAUGACGUCAAGUCAUCAUGGCCCUUACGAGUAGGGCUACACACGUGCUACAAUGGCAUAUACAAAGAGAAGCGACCUCGCGAGAGCAAGCGGACCUCAUAAAGUAUGUCGUAGUCCGGAUUGGAGUCUGCAACUCGACUCCAUGAAGUCGGAAUCGCUAGUAAUCGUAGAUCAGAAUGCUACGGUGAAUACGUUCCCGGGCCUUGUACACACCGCCCGUCACACCAUGGGAGUGGGUUGCAAAAGAAGUAGGUAGCUUAACCUUCGGGAGGGCGCUUACCACUUUGUGAUUCAUGACUGGGGUGAAGUCGUAACAAGGUAACCGUAGGGGAACCUGCGGUUGGAUCACCUCCUUACCUAAAGA